rnacentral:rRNA from 1 species
GACAGAGGCCUCAAGCGUUAGGCGGAAUCACUGGGCUUAAAGCGUGUGUAGGCGGAUCGUUAAGUGUCUUGUGAAAUCCCACGGCUCACCCGUGGAACGGCUGGGCAUACUGGCGAUCUUGGGCCAACUAGGGGCAACUGGAACAAGCGGUGGAGCGGUGAAGUGCGUAGAUAUCGCUUGGAACGCCGAAGGUGAAAACAGGUUGCUGGGGUUGUGCCGACGCUGAGACACGAAAGCCAGGGGAGCAAACGGG